CUGAACCAGCCAAGUAGCGCGAAGGAUGACUGCCCUAUGGGUUGUAAACUUCUUUUAUAACGGAAUAAAGUCGGGUAUGGAUACCCGUUUGCAUGUACUUUAUGAAUAAGGAUCGGCUAACUCCGUGCCAGCAGCCGCGGUAAUACGGAGGAUCCGAGCGUUAUCCGGAUUUAUUGGGUUUAAAGGGAGCGUAGAUGGAUGUUUAAGUCAGUUGUGAAAGUUUGCGG
rnacentral:rRNA from 1 species